CACGUAGGGUGCGAGCGUUGUCCGGAAUUAUUGGGCGUAAAGAGCUCGUAGGCGGCCCUCUAAGUCGAACGUGAAAUCCCCGGGCUCAACCCGGGAACUGCGUCCGAUACUGGAGGGCUCGAAUCCGGGAGAGGGAUGUGGAAUUCCAGGUGUAGCGGUGAAAUUCGUAGAUAUUGGGAAGAACACCGGUGGCGAAGGCGGCUAUCUGGACCGACAUUGACGCUGAGGCGCGAAAGCGUGGGGAGCAAACAGG
rnacentral:rRNA from 1 species